rnacentral:RNase_P_RNA from 1 species
UGUUGGAACCGGGUGAUCGCCGCCCGCGGAGCUUACGCCGGUUUUGGCCGGAGAGUGCGCCGCGGGGGGAGGAAAGUCCGAACUCCGCAGGGUAGUGUGCCGGAUAACGUCCGGGAGGGUGGCGUCAAAGUCACUCGACGGCCAGUGCCACAGAAAAUAUACCGCCUCCGGAUUCGUCCGGCGGUAAGGGUGAAAAGGUGCGGUAAGAGCGCACCGGGCGUUCAGUAAUGAACGCUGCAUGGUAAACCCCACACGGAGCAAGACCAAAUAGGGAUGAAGUUUGCGGGCGCAAUCCUGUAAUGCGUGCCGUCCCGGCGCGCCAAACAUCCGGGUAGGUCGCUUGAGCGUCGCGGUAACGCGCCGCCUAGACGAAUGAUCGCCACGGCAGCAAUGCCGUACAGAAUUCGGCUUACAGGUUCCAACGUUGC